CCCUAGCCCCGAUUGUAGCAGAAAUCCUUUUUGCGCAGUGCAACGGAGUGAAAAGAUUGGAGCGAAAAGCGGGAAUUAGC
rnacentral:sRNA from 1 species